rnacentral:rRNA from 1 species
UACGAACUGUGCAAACGUUAUUCGGAAUCACUGGGCUUACAGGGUGCGUAGGCGGCUUGUUAAGUAGGGUGUGAAAUCCCCCGGCUCAACCGGGGAAUUGCGCCCUAAACUGGCGAGCUGGAGUGAGAUAGGGGUGUGUGGAACUUCCGGUGGAGCGGUGAAAUGUGUUGAUAUCGGAAGGAACGCCGGUAGCGAAAGCGACACACUGGGUCUUUACUGACGCUGAGGCACGAAAGCCAGGGGAGCGAACGGG